UACGUAGGGUGCAAGCGUUGUCCGGAAUUAUUGGGCGUAAAGAGCUCGUAGGCGGUUUGUCGCGUCUGCUGUGAAAACUCGGGGCUUAACCCUGAGCCUGCAGUGGGUACGGGCAGACUAGAGUGUGGUAGGGGAGAUCGGAAUUCCUGGUGUAGCGGUGGAAUGCGCAGAUAUCAGGAGGAACACCGGUGGCGAAGGCGGGAUCUCUGGGCCUAAUACUCUGAGGAGCGAAAGCUGGGGAGCGAACAGG
rnacentral:rRNA from 1 species